UCAAAAUCAAUUUAUAACAGCUAAAAUAACUACAUAAUCUUCUCACAGAGCCUCCCCACCUCUAUCUAGAAAUUAGAAACUAGAAUCUAUAACUAGAAUCUAUGUGCUUAUUUGUGUCCUUAACUGAGUAAUGUGACAAGCUAUUCCACGUUAAUUCCUAAGCCAGUAUAGAAGUCCUUAAAAAUGAAAACCAACACUAAGAACAUCUUUUUAAAAAACAAGGCACAGAAAUUAAAAAUAAAUUUGAGAAAAAAGGCAAAUAAAAGUUUUCCUGUUAUUGUAUGUAAAUACAGUAAAAAAUAGCAAUGUAAAUAUGGUAUUAUUUCAGCAGGAGUAAAAGUCCCUGAUUGCUAAUUUUAUGAUUUACUGCACUAAAAUACCAAUACCUUAAAACAAUGACUUAUUUUCUCUCUCCAGUUCUCUUCGUUUAAAAUUAAUAAAGUAGUUAAUAACAGUGCCAAGCAAAACUAUAAACACAAAAUAUUAAAAAAUGAAUAAUUUCUUAGUUUUGUGAUAACAGCUAAACAUUAAUUAUGGUUUUAAACAGAAAUUUAAUCAUGACACAAUAAUCAGAACAAAGACACAUUUGUGCAUUUUAAAGACUUAAUCUUCUAGAAAAGUUGCUUGAAGAGGUCAUUCUUUUUUGUUCCUACCCAACGUCAUAAGGACAACUUAAAAUGUUUUAAAUCCAACACAACAGAAUUUUUUUUCUUAGAAAGCCAAGCUAUCAACUUAUGGAUCCUAUUUCAUUUUUAUGUAAUUUGGACCAGCUAAGUAGUGAAUCCUUAAGUAUAGAUGAUAUGUAAUGGAAACUUGCUCACAGAGAUUUGGACUGCUUCAACAAGACAAAACUAGCCAACUAUAGAACAUUAUCCCUCUCUCCAUUCAAAUCAAAACCCAAGACCUUAACAUUC